ACUGACACACCCACAAGUUAGAUUUCCACCUGGUAUCUCACACAUUUUGAAGCAGCACCCACAUCUCCGCAGCCCAACUGCCAACAGCAGACUAUAUAAUGAACCAUCUGUACCAUAACAGUUAGAGCCUAUUGAGAUGCGUUGAUAACACCAAAGAAAUCUCAUUUUUUUAAUCCUUUUAUCCUCUUGGGUGUUGUUAGACUGAGUCACAUUUCUAAUUGUAUGAUAAAUUGAAAAUGUUGGCAGGAACUUAACUUUUGUAAAAUUUGAGCUUUUUAAUGUUACUUUGAUUGUCUUUCUGGUGGAUUUCUUCGCCGCUACCCUGCAACGGAAGGAAAAGUUGACCUAUGAACCGAAAUUACUGGGAAGCAAAGCCUGCCGCUAUAUGGUGUUAACAGAAGAAACAAAAAUCUUCCCUUAGUCUCUUACGGUUUGACUGAACUAUUCAAUUAUGCCUUUUCAGGGACAAGCUGAAAUGCAGAUCUCAUUGUGGUCCUUGGACCAGUCGUUAAUGGAAUAACUGAAAAAGGACAGCCGUUUUUAAUGGAAGACAGGUACUCCUGUCAUAUUCUAGAAGGUGUCAAAAACAACAAUUAGAAGUAACAGUGGCAGUCGCAGAAGACCAACAUUCUCCUAGAUUGUGACUGGACUCAGGUCUUCUGUUCAAGCAAGACGAGCCUGGCCUCAUCUUUGUUUGCUAUGAAUUCCCACUUGAACAGUAGCAGGUCUACAAGUCCUAUGGCCACAGUAAUAGUUUUACCUGCUUGGCAGCAGAUGCUGGGAAAUUACAGAAGAAACAAAUUAUUAAGUCACUAAGUGUUUGUUAUCUUGAAAGGAUCCUGUGAAUGCAGGACACAAACUCAUGUGUAAUAAAGGAAAUAUUCCUCCAGAAAAUUAAUUUUUCCAGAGAAGCUCAAUCACUCACCUUGCAGUUCUCCACUCCGACUAUAGAGCUCCCUUCUCUGUUCUCGCAGAUAGGCGCUCAUACUGAUGGCAUGGGAGGACGAUUCGAACCUGCAGAGAAACACAGGGGAAACAGACAAGCAGGCGUAAACCAAUUAAGUGCUGACCAGCUCUGUAUUCCACAUUAUUCUACUCUGGUCUGUGUGGUGCUCCCCGAUGUUCCGUGAUGAAGACACUUUGGCUAUACCAUGACAGGGCCAGGGCCAGCUGCCGCAGACCUUGAUUUAUGAGCGAUAUUCCUGGCUAAGGCUCCUUUACAACCGUAUUUGGAUCUUUUGCUUAUUCUGCAUUUCAACUGGUACAACUCUGAUCUGUCCCAACUUCCUUUUGCUUUCAGACCCCCAUCAGCCUUUAGCCAGGAUCCUUAUACAUGCAGCAACGAAAGCAUCCUAUGAAGUCAUUCUAAUUACGUUACCAUCCAGCUCAGAAGUCACCAAUGACUGCCAGCUACCAACACAGACACACUGGCUCCUCAGAGCAGAACUCACGCCUAACUUCCACAGGUAGAGGACUAGACAAAGGACAUACUAGAAAUGUGGCUGAAUAACAGCACCAGAAAAGCAAGGCAGCUAUAAUCUCUCCCUAAAUGGCCUAAAAAACAGUUUCUUUUCUAAAUGGCUGCUAGUUUUUUGACGUGCUGCCUACAAUAUAAAAUACUCUCAAAAAUACCAAGCUACGCAAUAUUUGUUCACACCUACCCAGGAACUAUUUCAGAGGUUAGAAACACUGGUGAAGGAGGGAGAAGGAGGGAGAGACUCAUGAUAAAGAACAGGUUUCUAAAACCUAAAAUAAUAACUACAAAAAGAAAUAACAAAAACAAAUCAGUCUUAAGAUAAACGUGCAAGUAAGAAAAAAAACAGAUAAAAUUAUGACAUAUCAAACAGUAAAUCCUUUGAUGUGAUAAGAGAUCCCAUUUCAAACUGAGAUUUCAAAGGCAGGAUAACAACCUGCCAGAUGGAGGAAUCCUUCUAAGAAUGACUGCCACUAAGGGGUAAAAGCAGCAACAUAGUAUGAGCAACAGUGCUAAUGGGAUAGGUUUCUGGCAACAAGGCAGGCACACCAUCAUUUUCUUAAUUAUGCCUUCUUUAUCCUUUCCUUGACAAGGAAGAUGAAUACCGAGAUGAAUGUCAGUCUGUGAGGGAAACACUUGGGUUACUUGAUCCCCUCUCUGCACCCUGCCAAGAACUAAGAGGGUACUAACAGCCGGAAAGAAGGCAAAGUGUGCAGUACUUCAAACAUGCCACCUGCCAGUCAAGUGCAGAAAAGAAGCCACUGACCUCCAAAAAGCAUGCUGACAGCUAUUGAUCAGAUACGGCAAAGAAAAAAAAUAAAUAAACUCUUAAGCAAAGAAUAGAGAGGCACACAUAGCACAAUAAGGCAGGACUUAAACAGACUUAAUUAACCUUAGCUAAGGGUAAUUAAAGAGGGUAAUAAAGUCCUUCACAGAUGUGAUAAAAACAGUCAAAAUCUUAAUCCUUUAUGACUUGAUGUAUUUUUGGUACUCAGGAAUUCUUUUUAUGUCUGCAACAAGUCACAGAUUGAUAUAAUUUUGCAGUAAAAGAGGCACUAGAGAUUGAGUCUCACCUCCUUAGUUUAUAUCCAGAGACACUGAGACCUGCUCAGACACACAUGGGCUCAAUGAUAGAACCAAGACUGGAAACAGACAAAUCUGUAAUAACGGCCUAAUUCUGUGUCUGUGAUAAGUUUCAUUACUGCCCAGUAAUAAAAAAUGUGUAAUAAUUA